rnacentral:rRNA from 1 species
GACGAACGCUGGCGGCGUGCUUAACACAUGCAAGUCGAACGGAAAGGCCCUGCUUUUGUGGGGUGCUCGAGUGGCGAACGGGUGAGUAACACGUGAGUAACCUGCCCUUGACUUUGGGAUAACUUCAGGAAACUGGGGCUAAUACCGGAUAGGAGCUCCUGCUGCAUGGUGGGGGUUGGAAAGUUUCGGCGGUUGGGGAUGGACUCGCGGCUUAUCAGCUUGUUGGUGGGGUAGUGGCUUACCAAGGCUUUGACGGGUAGCCGGCCUGAGAGGGUGACCGGCCACAGUGGGACUGAGAUACGGCCCAGACUCCUACGGGAGGCAGCAGUGGGGAAUAUUGCACAAUGGGUGGAAGCCUGAUGCAGCAACGCCGUGUGCGGGAUGACGGCCUUCGGGUUGUAAACCGCUUUCGCUCAUGACGAAGCUUUGUGUGACGGUAGUGGGUAAAGAAGCACCGGCUAACUACGUG